rnacentral:rRNA from 1 species
UGUGAGCUCGAUGAGUAGGGCGGGACACGUGGUAUCCUGUCUGAAUAUGGGGGGACCAUCCUCCAAGGCUAAAUACUCCUGACUGACCGAUAGUGAACCAGUACCGUGAGGGAAAGGCGAAAAGAACCCCGGCGAGGGGAGUGAAAAAGAACCUGAAACCGUGUACGUACAAGCAGUGGGAGCCUCUUUUAUGGGGUGACUGCGUACCUUUUGUAUAAUGGGUCAGCGACUUAUAUUCUGUAGCAAGGUUAACCGAAUAGGGGAGCCGAAGGGAAACCGAGUCUUAACUGGGCGUUAAGUUGCAGGGUAUAGACCCGAAACCCGGUGAUCUAGCCAUGGGCAGGUUGAAGGUUGGGUAACACUAACUGGAGGACCGAACCGACUAAUGUUGAAAAAUUAGCGGAUGACUUGUGGCUGGGGGUGAAAGGCCAAUCAAACCGGGAGAUAGCUGGUUCUCCCCGAAAGCUAUUUAGGUAGCGCCUCGUGAAUUCAUCUCCGGGGGUAGAGCACUGUUUCGGCAAGGGGGUCAUCCCGACUUACCAACCCGAUGCAAACUGCGAAUACCGGAGAAUGUUAUCACGGGAGACACACGGCGGGUGCUAACGUCCGUCGUGAAGAGGGAAACAACCCAGACCGCCAGCUAAGGUCCCAAAGUCAUGGUUAAGUGGGAAACGAUGUGGGAAGGCCCAGACAGCCAGGAUGUUGGCUUAGAAGCAGCCAUCAUUUAAAGAAAGCGUAAUAGCUCACUGGUCGAGUCGGCCUGCGCGGAAGAUGUAACGGGGCUAAACCAUGCACCGAAGCUGCGGCAGCGACGCUUAUGCGUUGUUGGGUAGGGGAGCGUUCUGUAAGCCUGUGAAGGUGUGCUGUGAGGCAUGCUGGAGGUAUCAGAAGUGCGAAUGCUGACAUAAGUAACGAUAAAGCGGGUGAAAAGCCCGCUCGCCGGAAGACCAAGGGUUCCUGUCCAACGUUAAUCGGGGCAGGGUGAGUCGACCCCUAAGGCGAGGCCGAAAGGCGUAGUCGAUGGGAAACAGGUUAAUAUUCCUGUACUUGGUGUUACUGCGAAGGGGGGACGGAGAAGGCUAUGUUGGCCGGGCGACGGUUGUCCCGGUUUAAGCGUGUAGGCUGGUUUUCCAGGCAAAUCCGGAAAAUCAAGGCUGAGGCGUGAUGACGAGGCACUACGGUGCUGAAGCAACAAAUGCCCUGCUUCCAGGAAAAGCCUCUAAGCAUCAGGUAACAUCAAAUCGUACCCCAAACCGACACAGGUGGUCAGGUAGAGAAUACCAAGGCGCUUGAGAGAACUCGGGUGAAGGAACUAGGCAAAAUGGUGCCGUAACUUCGGGAGAAGGCACGCUGAUAUGUAGGUGAAGCGACUUGCUCGUGGAGCUGAAAUCAGUCGAAGAUACCAGCUGGCUGCAACUGUUUAUUAAAAACACAGCACUGUGCAAACACGAAAGUGGACGUAUACGGUGUGACGCCUGCCCGGUGCCGGAAGGUUAAUUGAUGGGGUCAGCGCAAGCGAAGCUCUUGAUCGAAGCCCCGGUAAACGGCGGCCGUAACUAUAACGGUCCUAAGGUAGCGAAAUUCCUUGUCGGGUAAGUUCCGACCUGCACGAAUGGCGUAAUGAUGGCCAGGCUGUCUCCACCCGAGACUCAGUGAAAUUGAACUCGCUGUGAAGAUGCAGUGUACCCGCGGCAAGACGGAAAGACCCCGUGAACCUUUACUAUAGCUUGACACUGAACAUUGAGCCUUGAUGUGUAGGAUAGGUGGGAGGCUUAGAAGUGUGGACGCCAGUCUGCAUGGAGCCGACCUUGAAAUACCACCCUUUAAUGUUUGAUGUUCUAACGUUGACCCGUAAUCCGGGUUGCGGACAGUGUCUGGUGGGUAGUUUGACUGGGGCGGUCUCCUCCUAAAGAGUAACGGAGGAGCACGAAGGUUGGCUAAUCCUGGUCGGACAUCAGGAGGUUAGUGCAAUGGCAUAAGCCAGCUUGACUGCGAGCGUGACGGCGCGAGCAGGUGCGAAAGCAGGUCAUAGUGAUCCGGUGGUUCUGAAUGGAAGGGCCAUCGCUCAACGGAUAAAAGGUACUCCGGGGAUAACAGGCUGAUACCGCCCAAGAGUUCAUAUCGACGGCGGUGUUUGGCACCUCGAUGUCGGCUCAUCACAUCCUGGGGCUGAAGUAGGUCCCAAGGGUAUGGCUGUUCGCCAUUUAAAGUGGUACGCGAGCUGGGUUUAGAACGUCGUGAGACAGUUCGGUCCCUAUCUGCCGUGGGCGCUGGAGAACUGAGGGGGGCUGCUCCUAGUACGAGAGGACCGGAGUGGACGCAUCACUGGUGUUCGGGUUGUCAUGCCAAUGGCACUGCCCGGUAGCUAAAUGCGGAAGAGAUAAGUGCUGAAAGCAUCUAAGCACGAAACUUGCCCCGAGAUGAGUUCUCCCUGACCCUUUAAGGGUCCUGAAGGAACGUUGAAGACGACGACGUUGAUAGGCCGGGUGUGUAAGCGCAGCGAUGCGUUGAGCUAACCGGUACUAAUGAACCGUGAGGCUUAACCUU